UGUGUAUUGUGUAUUGUGUCCUAGCGCUGCUGACACUCUGUGUGUGUGUGUGUUUGUGUGUCCUGCAGAAAUUCUGGGAGCUGGCGAGGCAGGUGAGCGAGCUGAUGACCUGGAAGAAGGUGGAGUGUCCGUUUGAGAAGGACCGCAAGAUCCUACAGUACCUGCUCACCGCUCCCGUUUUCAGUGAGGAUGCUCUGUGUCUGGCAUCCUAUGAGAGCGAAGGACCAGAGAACAACAUGGAGAAGGACAGGUGGAAGUCUCUGAGGUCUUCCCUGCUGAAUCGGGUGUAGGCACCUCAGGGUGGCGGUGGCGGGGGGGGGGGGGGGGG